UAUAUUUAAUUUUUUAUUUUUUUUAGUAUUAAAAGUUAUUUUCUUUAAAAUUUUAAGAAUUUGGCGGUUAUUAUAUACUUUUUAGAGGAAUAUGUAUUUUAAUUGAUAAUCCACGAUAUUUUUUACUUUAUUUUUGUUUGUAUAUCUCUAUUUGUAUAGAAUUUUUAUUAAUAAUACUUUCUUUUUUUUUUUUGAAUAAAUUUUAGGUCAAGGUGCAGUUUUAUUAAAGUUAAUAUGUAUUACUUUAAUAUUAAAUUUUUUUUUCAUAUUAAUUUUUAAAAUUUUUUUUAUUAGGAUUUAAUAGUAAUUUUAAUUAAUUAAUUAAUUUGAAUUUAGUUCUUAAU
rnacentral:rRNA from 1 species